GUAACAUUUAACAUUUAUUGAAGGAAAAGAAAAAGAUAAACAGCAGCAAUGCGAUCCAUGUUACUGGGGAAGACUGAACAUCAAUAACUAAGUUUGUUUGACCAUUUAAAACUGCUAUAGUGGAACAACAGCGUGUGUAGAAGUUCUCUUGGUUUGAUUAAAACAAAUGAGAACUUCCUAAAUGCUGUAAAACAGCAUGAGUUGAGCAGAUAACAGGUUAUCCAUUUUAUUUUUGUCAAAGAAAUUUUGCAAAUAAAUAUCGGCCAUCAGCCGCCCGGAGUUAAAGAAUAUAUCAGUAUCGUAUCGACCUUGGAAAAAAAAAAAACCUAUGUAGUUCAACUCAGAAGAAAUCAGCAGACAUUAUCUUUAGAAACGUUUUAAUGAAAAGGAAUCCCAACAUGUGAGUAAAAGAGCGGGAGUGGAGGACGGAGCGGGCCGGGCCGGGUCACUGCAGCUGCUGCAGCCGCUCCAGCAGCUCGCACGCGCCGGGUCUGCGCAGGGCGUCUGCGCUCCAGCACGCGCCCAGCAGCGCGCGGAGCCGCCCCCCCAGCUCCGAGCGGAACACGGCGCUGUCCCGCAGCGAGGGCCGCAGCUCCUGCGCCACGAUGGCGUAGAGGACGCGCUGGCGCUCGCCCGCGUAGGGCGGCUCCCGGGUCAGCAGCUGCCACAGCGUGAUGCCGAAGGAGAAGAUGUCCGCCUUGGGAGACACCGCCUCGCCCUUCAGCAGCUCCGGGGCUCGGUGCGUGUGCACGAGGCUGUGCGCGUGCAGGUACCGGAGCCCGCGCGCGAUGUCCGCAGAGUACCGGAGGCAGCGCUCCUCCCGCAGCGGCUCCGGCGACCCGUAGAUGAUCUGCUGGAGGUUCCGGUUCCCCACGAACUCCAUCAGGAUGGUCCCGAUGCUGCUCUCGGCUUCGGAGCCUCCCGGCGUGGACGUGCUCGCCGCGAUCACGCGCACGAUGUUGUCGUGGUGCAGAGCCACCGUCCUCCCGAGGUACUCCGCCCGGAACACGGAGCCGAACCCGCCCGAGCCCACCGCCUCCACGGAGCGCAGCUGCUCCCAAUGGAUGACCGAGGAGCAGCACCGGGGGGCGGCGGCGCGGCGCGGCGGGGGGGCCCAGCGGGCUGCUGCAGACACCGCCCGCCGCGUGGGGAAACAGGCCUCGGGGCAACAAGCGGCUGGGGGGGAUCGGGGAAGGCAUGGCGGAGUCUGGCCUCGCGGCCGCUACAGGAGUUUGUUGCAGACCUGAUGCAGAGGCAGCAGUGAAGCAUGAAUGUGGCCCGGGACGCCUGGAUCUGCACCUGAAAUGAUCCAAUACAUCAGGGGUCCUCAAACUUUUCCUCUGAUGUGGGGUCGGUUUGUAGGCUAACAGAAAAAGUGUAACAAUCACAUUGUCUUAUUGUAAUCAUUUACGGUUUUCAAGAAAGCCACACAUAGAAAAAUCUUAAAUCAUUUAUUUCUUAAAUCUUCAUCAGAAAUACAGUACAAAUAUUAGUGAAACGCCAAAUUAGCCUAAAAAAGUAUGAAUUAGACAAAACAGGUAGCAUGUAGCUUAAAUAUUAACUAAAUGCCAAAUUGGAAAAAAAAAAGAGAAAAUCUGUAAUUGAGCCAAAGCAGCUAGCGUAAAGCUAAAAUAUUAACUAAGCUAUAAAUUAGCUAAACUGAAAAAAAAAAAAUCAAAAAUUAAUGGAAUAAAUGUCACGUUCUAUGUGGUUUUCAAUUGGUGUUUCUGAAGUGUGUGGGGGGCCGGGCUAAAUGUGGAGGCGGGCCUGAUCUGGCCCGCGGGCCGUGGUUUGGGGACGCCUGCAAUAAAAACUAAACAUGUUUUUUUUUUUUAAGGAAGUUCUUGAUGGAACAAAAGGAAACGUGUCGCUUGAUUUCUCAUCUUGACGUCUGGAAUAAGAAUCUUCUAUGAUUGAAUGAAACUUUUCCCAUUCAUCACAUGUGCACAUCAGCUUCAUACACACCACGAGGAGGCACAUGAAGCUGCAGCUGUCACCUCCUCCUCUCUGUGGAUCCUCUGCUCCUCCUCAGGGUCCCUCUGCUCCAGCAGCAGUCCGCAGUUCUCCAGCAGGAUCUUUGCUGCCUCAGCUCUUGAAAAAACCCAAUCUCAUUAAAGAAAUACAGUGAUGAUUAUUCCUGUCAUUUAUUCAUUAAUGUAGCACACAGCAUCUAGUAAUCUCCUCACAAAUGGAUAACAGAUGGGAAAAAGUAAAGGUUAUUAAUUAGUAGAGGGAGGGGUUAAAAACAUUGUAGAACUUCUGCAUCUUUAUUUUUCCACUUGAAAUGUUUGUUGACGACAGGAGCAAUUACACAUUUAAAGUUGGGCAUUUCCCGUGUUGUGCUUAAACUGGCUAACAUCUACACUCAGAAAUAUUUUCAAAUCUCUAUUUUAGAUUUUUGGGUGGACGUUUCUGUCCACAGGAGGGCAGAGAUCAGAACUGAACAGGAUGUGGUUCCAGCUCAGACUCCACUGAAUCUUAGAGCUGAUGAAGCUUCUUAUAAUAAUAAUAAUGGAUUUGAUUUAUCUGCACUUUUCCAGCGGCCCAAAGCACUUACAAUGAAUAUGCAUGAGUCAUUCAAACCUGUCAUACUUGGUGAUGGUUAGCUACUGCUGCCCUGGGGCAGGCUGACAGAGGCGUGGCUACCAGUUCGUGCCCAUGGCCCCUCUGACCAUCACCGGGACAUUCAUACACAUUCACACGCCAGUGGAGCCACACUGGAGGAAAGCAGGGUGAAGUGUCUUGCCCAAGGACACAACGACGGUUGGCUGGCUCGAUCAUUGGCUGACCUGCUCCACCACCUGAACUCCUGUCAGUGUUCAGCACAUCUUCACAUCUUUACACUUGCUUUCCUCAAAGCCAGCUGUUAUCUCCAUAAAACUGCAUCAUCAUCCUAAAAGGAGAUUAGAGAAACUUUCUCAAAAUUCACAUUUGUUGAGGUUGAAGAACAGAAAUAUUCCCAGUGUAAUGUUGAAGCAGGUAAAAAACAUCAAUCAGCUGAGCUUGGUUUAUUUUAGAUCAUUAAAAAUGCUUCACUUCUUCUCUGAGAGAUUUUCUCAAUGCAGGAAAGUUUAAAAAAAGUAAAUACUUUUUCAGCAACGUAUGAAAUUUCAGUCAAUUUUUUGUUUUGGGAAUAGUAACGCUGAGCAGCGUCGCUGUGUUAUGGAAUAGACUGAAUGACCUUUGACUUUUUAUGCAACAACAGGAAGUAGAGUUGAGGAGGGGAAGAACGCAGUUCGUCUGAUGUCCUGCUCUGAAUGUGUCAAACUACCAUCAGCAUGAUGUUAGUGAGAACAAACACAAAGCUGUCUUCUCCAGAGUCAAAGGUUUGGUUCACAUACUGAAUGUCAUUAAAGUCCCCCGUAACAAUUUUUUUAAAUUUUCCUUAAAUGUUCCCAGUGGGGUUUUAAUUAGGACUGUUAAGUUUUGAACACAUGCUAAAUGUCUUAAAAAGCCAUUUUUCCUGUUGCUCUGAAGCCUUACUUUCCAAAAAAAAAAAAUCCCUCUGUGUGGGCGUGGCUUAUGGUGUUGAGCUGUGUAAGUCGUGUAAGUCGUCGCCCCCCCAGACAUGCUCACGAGACACACACUUUGAUAAACCCAUGAAAAAAUAAAAUAAACUCAAACCUUUCCAUUCCUGCUGCAUUGCAGCAGCAGCAGCUCUAUCUGGGGUUCAGAACUGAUUUCAUGCUGAUUGUUGAAUUCACUUCAACAAGAAAUCUCAUGAAAUGAAAUGAAGAAUACAGAGAGGGUCUAAUCAAGCGUCAGUUUGUAAAUGUGUGCAGUG
ensembl:lncRNA